GUGGACACUGGGAGGCCUGGGGGUUCAGAACCUGGGCGGGACACGCUCACCCCACUUCGGGUCUAACGUGGUCACUCUGACCCCGUGGGGAGGCCCAGGGGCUGCAGCGAGGGAAGCCGUGGCCGAAACCGCCUGCCCAGGAUGCUGGUGGCCCAGAGCCGGGAGGUGGCCUCCGUGUGGAUUCUGGGUUUGGAGGUAGAGGCAGCAAGAGUCCCUGAGGCGGAUCCGGCUGGUGGGAGACAGGGGGGCAGGCGGGGGUCUGUGCCACCGCCAUCCUGGCCCCUGGCCCCUCCCCUCCUCAGUGACUGACCCCGAGGCACAGGACCCCAGCAGCCACCUGUGUUGAGCCCUGGCCGGGGACGCGAGACCUCCUUGCGUCUGCAGGCUCACCCCGGGGGGCCUCCUCACCCCCAUGUGUCAAGUGGGGUGCAGAGGCUCAAAAAUAGGAAGGGCCUCACCUGUCCCCAGGGGGUGGGGACAGCACUUCAGAUGUCCCCUCUGCGGUCCACAGCCUGGCACGGUUUUGUCUCCCAAGGGACAUGAGGCAAUGUGAGGAGAGGCUCUUGAGGAUCGUGCUUGGUGGGAAAAGGCAUCUGGGAGUAGAUGCCAGGGGACACUGAAGCCACCUGCCAUGCACAGGACGGCUGCCCGCCCCAGAAUGACCCAGCCCAGCUGUGCCCAGGUUCCCGUGGACACGCUCCAUUCACGGGCUGUCCAGCGCAGGGGGACACUACACCCCCAGCCCCCAGGCCUCAUAGACAUCGCCUGGGGAUCCAAGGCCCCUCAGGAAAGCAAGCUUGUGCUGGGGGAGCUGUGGUGACAGGUGACAUGCAGCCAGUUUCCUCCUGUGCCAGCUGCCAGUUCCCGGAAACCAAAGGGGGCACGCUCCUUGACGUCUCCUUUUCAAUUAGCCCUGGUCCAUCUUUGCAGCUGAUCCCCAGGCCCUGCAAGUGCCCGGUCCUUUCUGAUGGCCUGUGGCUCCGCCUCUCCCUUCCCCGCCUGAGAGCCUUCUGUGGCUCCCAGCAGCCGUGGGACAAGGUUGGUCCGGCUCCUUGCUCUGGACACUGCCUUUCCCUCCCGGCUCUGGCUUCCUCCUGGGUCUCAUGCCUCUUUCCCUGCCACCCACAGGGGGCCUCCUCAUUCCCCGAAGAGGCGGUUCCCUCCCGCCCCCGCCAUUCUGGCUCACCAAAGACCCGACUCUGGGCUUGGUGGAGCGCCUCUGUGGUCGGUUUCCUUCCUCUUUCUCUUGGCUCUAAUCUUUAUUAUUUCCCUUCUCUUUCUUUCUCUGGGUUUAUUUUUCUGUCCUUUUCUAACUUAGUGAUGUCUGAAACGUGGUUUUUUUGGUUUUUUUGUUUUUUGUUUUUAGCUUUUCUUCUUUCUUAACACCUGGGUUUUAAGGCUACGCAUUGCCCUCUAAGUACUGCUAUAGCUGCAACCCACAUGGCGGAAUGUCUGCUUUUUCUACCAGUUUUCUAUAAGGGAAAGCAACCUGGUCCAAACUGGCUGAAGCCAAAAGGAAACUCCUUGUCUCAUUUGCCUGAGACCAGGGAUGUUCCAGAUUUCAGAUCAGGGUGGAAGGAUGGGAUUGUGGAAUAUUUGCAAGUAGGUAAUGAGACAUAAUACAAAGUUAAUUUAUGUUCUAUAUUCACCUGCAGGUAAUUCUAUACAGUAUUUUAGGGCCCCUGCACUUUGACUGUGACCCCUCCCCUGAGGUCAGGUAGGAAGUUUUCCUUUGGUGGCCAUCAUGGGGGUCCCCCCAAAAGUUCCCAAGUCUGGAGCAUUUCAGAUUUGGGGUUUGGGGAUUAAGGAUGCUCAUUGGUUUCGCCAGCCGGUUUUUCUGCUUUGACCAAAAGACCUGACAAGAACGAUUUUAGAGGAGGAGAAGUUUAUUUGGGGGCUCAACAUUUCAGAGGUCUCAGGCCCCAGAUGGCCGACUCCGUAGCUCUGGGUCCAAGGUGAGGCAGAGCAUCAUGGUGGAAGAGCGUGGUGGAGGGAGGUAGCUCAGGACGUGGCCACCAGGAAGCAGAGAGGAGGAGACAGCUCUUCUCACCAAGGACAAAGUGUAUACCCCAAGGGCACACCCAGUGACCCACUUCCUCAGCCACACCCUCUCUGCCUGCUGUCACCACCCAGUUAAUACACGAUUAGGUGAAGGCUGUCAUAACCCCAACCACGUCACCUCUAAACCUUCUCUCCUUGUGUCAUACAUCAGCUUUGGGGGGGGGCAUCUACUAUCUAAACUAUAACAUUCUUCCCCUGGCCCCCCAAAAGCUCAUCCCCAUCUCAUAAAGCAAAGUACAUUUAGUCCCUUUCCAAGAGUCCCCAGGGUCCUAACAGUUAUAGGAUUGCCCAAAAGUCCAAAUCCAAAGUCUCCCGAGACUCAAGGCAAACUCUCAAGGGGAGCCCCUACAAAAUAUCAAAAAGGAAGUUACAUAUGUCCAAUAUAUAAAAGUACAAAGUAACUAUUUCUACUCCACCAUGGAGGGGUGGAGACACAGAAAGAAGGGAUGGGACCAAAGCAGGGCUGAAAUCCAGCUGGACAAACAGGUCCUGUAGCUCUACAUCCAGCACCUGGGGCACAGGACAGGGUCAUGUUCUCUCCCAAGGGUUGGUGUAGCUUUGCCCCUGGAUCUUGCUGGCUCUAGUCUCUUUUGGCCUCUCUCAGCCUCUUGUCUCCAUGCACGGACCUCUCAGGGGCUGCCCACAGGGACUCCAUCCAUUCUGCACUUUGCCUGGCCUUCCCCGCCUUCCCUUUGGGAUCUUGGUGGAAGCCUCAUUGACCUCCUCACUCUGCAGCGUCCUGCACUCUGCAGAACCAACCCCACCUGGUGGACUCCAAACUCUGCCUCCACCUCCAGCAAUAGCCACGUCUCGGAGUACCUGGGGUCUGGACCUGGCAAAACAACUGCCCAAGCCCACUGUGUAAGCUGGGAGCCCUCAGGAUCUCUUCUCAAAGGGAUUUUAACUUUCAUACCCUGGAGUCUGAAACAGGUGUGGUCUGGCCAAUACAUGAGGUACCCUCAAGCCGUCUUCCCUACUGUUUCUGGGUAAAGCACUCAGCAGCUUCUCUUUCGUGGCUAAAAUGUCUUUAACAACCACAAUUUUAGCCACAGUUUUACUCCCAUGUUUCAAGUCCAAGUGUUUCGAAUUUUUCUGCUCUGCUUUCUGCUCCUGAUGAUCACGAUCAACUUGGCUAAAAGCCACCAGCAAUACCCAUGCCGCCUCCCCAAGACUGCGUUGCCUUGAAAUUUCCUCAGCCAGAUCAAUUAGCCCAUCGCCUUUACGUUGAGCCUUGUGCAAAGUCUUAGGACCUGGGCAAUAUUUAGGCAAGUUCUUAGCCUGAACCUAAUGUGGACGGCCUGAGGUCCAGUUUCAACAGUGAUCUUUCUCCUCUAAAACCUCGUGAGCACAGUCUUUAUUGUCUGCUGUCCUACCAGGUUCUGGUCUUUGACUCUCGGCUGAAUUUCUCGCUAAGCUCCACUUACAACACCCGAGAGCCUUUCCAGUUUUCAUCUCUAAACUUUUCAAACUUCCUCGGACAAAUUCCCAAAAGCUCCCCGAGCUUCCACACCGCAGGGUCAGGUUCAGGUAAAGCAGCAACGUCUCCAUACCAAUUUCUGUUUUAGUUAGAUUUGUGACUGCUGUGACCGAAAAAACUUGAGAAGAACAAUUUUAGAGGAGGAGAAGUUUAUUGGGGGGGGGCUCACGGUUUCAGAGGUCUCCGUCCCCAGAUGGCUAAUCCCACUGCUCUGGGUCCAAGAUGUGGCAGAACAUCACGGCGUAGCCAUGUGGUGGAGGGAGGUAGCUCAGGACAUGGCCACCUUGGUCCUCUCACCAAGGACAAAACACGGACCCCCAAGAUCACCCCAAGUGACCCACCUCCUCCAGCCACACGCUCUCUGCCUGCAGUUACCAACCCAGUUAAUCCCUACCAGGGGAUUAAUGCUGGUUAGGUUAAGACUCUCACAACCCAAUCACGUCACCUCUGAACCUUCUCGCAUUGUCUCACACAUGAGCUUUUGGAGGACACCCCAUAUCUAAACCAGAACCCCCUGAAAUGCUCCUAUUAAUCACAAUACUAGAAGCUCCAGGCUUGGUGGGUCUCCCUGACCACUGCAUUUGAGCUCUUGACAAGGAAAAGCAGGUCUGUCUGUCACCUGAGACGAACUUGGUGAGCAGCAGGGGGCGGGAGAAGAUUGGCAGUUCUUUUUCCCAACCCAAAGACCCUGAUCAGUCCCCCAGUCCUCACUCCCUCCCCCAACCCCAGAGACUGGCACCUCAAGCUGGCUCAGCCCCAGGACCCCUGGAGGAAGCCUGGCAGACGUGCCAAUCGGCACCUUCCCUUGUCCAGGGAUUUCCAGGUUGCCCAGGCUGAGCCGGCCGUGACCUCAGCCUGAUGGACACGUUGGCUUGUUGCAAUCAUUCCCUGGGAUCUUAACUUUUUUUUUUUUUUCUGUCAAAUUUAUGGCCAACAACUUCUGUCGCAGCACAUGGCCGUUUGGGCCAAGCUUGUUUGAUUUGGUUUUAACAUUCACAACUGAAAUAAUAAUGUUGCUAAAUGUUCCUGAGGGGCACACGCUUGUAAUCCCAGCAGCUCAGGAGGCGGAGGCAGGAGGAUUGCAAACUCAAGGCCAGCCUCAACAAAGUAGUGAGACCCUGUCUCUAAGUAAAAAGAAAAAAAGGGCUGGGGAUGUGGGUCAGUGGGAAAGCACCCCUGGGUUCAGUCCCCAGCACCAGAAGAAAAACGAAACAAAACAAAAAUCCCUGAGUGAUAAAAUGUGUUAUGUUUUAUUUUCUGGGAUUCGACAGAGAUUGUUACUUGUCUGUCCUGCUUGAUCUUUCCCCUUAGGAGAAGAAAUAUAUUUAUAUCUAUUCUUGGGUCAGGAAUAUAUUCAGAUCUAUGUCUGCAUCUGCGUCCAUACCUGAAUCUGAAUCUGUGACUGUUCAACCAAAUAUAGGUUCAACCGCAUAUAACAGAAAUACAAAUUGAUGGUAGCUUCAAUACAAGCAAGAUUUCUUUCAUGUAAUCAGAAACAGAAGUGGGGACAUGACUACCAACUCUACAGAAGCAAAAAGGAUCCUCUGAUGAACAAUCGUACGCCAACAAAUUCAAUGAACCGGACAAAUUUCUAGAAACGGUACGGAAUCACUGGAGACUUUAAAAGUCUCACCAAAACCAAUUACCAAAAUUGACUCAUGAAGAAAUAGAAAACCCCAAUAGACAUAUCACAAAAUAAGAGUUGAAUUACCAACCCGAAACCUCCCAGGCAAGAAAAGUCCGUGGAUGAAUUCUAUGGAACGUUUCAAGAAGAAUUAACCUCAUUCCUUUUUUAAUUUCUUCCACAAAACACAAGAGGAGGAAAUAUUAUCUAAGUCAUUCUAUGAUACCAAAUCCAGACAAGGACGUCACAGAUGAGCAUCUCUUGGGAACAUAGAUGCAAAAAAUUCCUCAACAAAAUACCAGAAAACAGAGUCCUACAGCCCCUUGAAGAGUUUAUAUAGCAGGACCAAACCUCAGGAAUGCAAGGAUAGUUCAAUAUAAGGUGAAGCCACACGGUACACCAUAUUCACAGAAUAAAGGGACAAACACCACGUGAUCAUUUAUAUUGAUGCAGAAAAGCAUCUGACAAAAUUCAAUGCCCUUGCAGGACUGAAACCCUCAGCAAAAUAGGAAUCCAAGGGAAUUCCUUCAAUUCGACAAGGGUCGGAUAUGAAACCUCACAGCGGAUGAAAAAUGGAAGAUGUUCCCCUAAGAUUGGGAACGAGAAUGGUGCCCUCUUGGCCAACGCUCCUCAACACGAUACCCGGAGUUCAAACCCCAACAGAUCAGCAAGAGGCAGCUAUUAAAAGCUUCCAAGUAGAAAGGAAGAAGAAACACGACCUUGAUUAACAGACGAUGUGAUCCUAAAUAGAGAAGAUCCUCAAGAAUCGGCAAAGAAAUGACUAGAACCAAAACACGACUUGGGCCAGGUGGAAGGAUAGAAAUUAACCUGCAGAAACGCACGGGGUCUCAAGGCACCAGCGAGGAGCAGCCCGGCCCCAGGAGGCAAGGAAGAACUUUCCAUCACAACAGCAUCAAGAGCAAUAAAACCCCUGGGGACAGAUAGAACUCAGGAGUUGCAAGAAACGUUACUGAAAAAAAAUCAAAGAAGAAAGACCCAAGUAAAUUUUUGGUGAAGUGGAAGGUGUAACAUCCUUGAGACGGCGAUCUUCAGGUUUACAGCACUCUGUGAAUUUAAUGCAAUCCCUAUAAAAAUCCCAAUGUUCUUUCUUUUAAUUAAUUAAAAUUAUUUAUUUAUUUUUGGUGCUGGGCUGAGCUACAUCCCCAUCCCUGGCCCUUUGUACUUUUUUUUUGAGACAAGGUCUCCCUUAGUUGCCUUCAAACUUGUGAUCCUCCUGCCUCAGCCUCCCGAGUGCCUGGGAUUAUGGGCAUGCUUCACCUCGACUGGUGUCUUUUUCUUUUGAAUGAAGAAGUUGAUCCUAAAGCUCAUGUGGAAUUGCAAGAGAAGAGCCCAAACAGCUGUUAGAACAACAAGAUCAAGACUCACUACAGAGCCGCUGUGCUCAGGGACCUCGGGCUGUUGGCCCAGGGACAACACAUUUGACCAAGGACAUCGUCGGUCUGUUGACAUCCAGGUCAGGAGUCUAGAAAUAAACGGCAUGGGUCAGGUGAUUUCCAAUAAGGAUGCCAGGACAAUUCAAUGGGGAAAGAAUGGCCUCUUAGUUAAUUAAUUCAAUAUUUAUAUUUGGUGAUUUAUAUUUGAUCAAGAAAUAUUCCUUGUUUAUUGAUUUAUUUAAUGGUGCUGGGGCAACUGGAUAGAUCUAUAUGUGAAACGACAAAGUUUGGCCCUUAUCUCACACCAUACACCAAAAUGAAUAUAAAAUGGGUCAGAGACCUAAAUAGAAGAAGUAACAGAACAAUAAAAAUCUCAGGAAAAAAAAAAAAAAAACACUGGAAGAAAUCUUUAUGGCCUUCGAUUUGGUAACGGAUCCUUCUUAGAUGUGCUUCAAAAGCACAAAGAAAGAAAGAGAGAAACUGUGCUUUAUAACCAUUAAAAGCUCUUGCUGGGUGCAGUGUACAUGCCUAUAAUCCCAGAAGCUUGGGAGGCUGAGGAAGGAGGAUCACAAGUCCAAGGCCAGCCUCCACCAUUUAGCAAGGCCCUAAGCAAAUUAGCAAGACCCUGGCUCAAAACAUUUAAAAAAAAUUUUAAAAGAGGGGCCUGGGGAUGAGAAAAUUAAAAAUUCUUUUACUGCUGGGUGCAAUGUUGCACGCCUGUAAUCCCAGCAACGUGGGAGUCGGAGGCAGGAGAAUGGCAGGUUCAAAGCCAGCCUCAGCAACUUAGUGAGGCCCUAAGCGAUUUAUUAAGACUGUAUCUCAAAAUAAAAUACAGAAAAUGGGCUGGGGAUGUGUCUCAGUGGUUAAACAGCUCAGGAUUCAACCCCCCCAAAACUCUUUUACAUGAAAGCACAGGACUCAGAAAGUAACAAGACGAUGCAGAAAACUGAGAAAGAAUAUUUGCAGACCAUCUAUCUGAUAAAGGUCAAGUAUCCAGAAUAUGUAAAGAGCUCUUACAACCCAACAAUGAUAAUGCAAUUUAAAAAAUUGGCAGAGGACGAUCAAGCACGUGGGAGUCGGGAACUGGCUGCAAACAGGCCCAAGGGAUUGUUGGGGGUUUGUGUGUGUGUGUGUGUGUGUGUGUGUGUGUGUGUGUGAUGAUGGAAAUUUCCCAACAUUAGAUCAUGGUGAGUUGCACAAUUCGACACAUUUUCUAGAACUAAUUGAACUGAAUUCAGUGGCUGCAUUUGAUGUUAUAUAAAUAAUACCUCAAAGGAGCUGUGGAAAUAAAAAUAAAAAAGAGGAAAUGGCGGAGGGAGGGGCUGUCGCAAUUAUUUUUCCCCCAGGAGACCACUUGACUGAAAGGCAGAGAGACCACUUCCUCUCGGUGACCAGCUCUGAGUCCUCCGGGGUUGCGAGGGCCCCAGAGGUCCCACCACACCUCCCUUCCGCGGGCCACACUCCUGAGACAUGGGCAGACCCAGAGGCACCGCCCCAGAGGACACUUCACGUCCAUUUCUGGGGGUGGGGAUGUGGCCCUGGCAGCUGUUA
rnacentral:lncRNA from 1 species